rnacentral:lncRNA from 1 species
UCAAUUUGAAAGCAUGAAUAAGAAUUUAGAAAAAUUAGGAAUUGGACAUAAUUAUCCUUACUAAUUAGUAUUUGAGACAAGUAGUAUUUUUGUUUGCUUUUACAGCUCGGAUCAGGUAAGAACAGCUAUGUGAGAACCUUAUAUGAGAAUCAAUCGUAGCCAUUGAAAUGCAUCCGGACGGUUUAGGAGAAAAAGCAAGCUUAGGGUGCAAACAUGUAGGCUGCAGUUUCCCCUUAGCCUGAUGUGUCAAGUCGCGCCUCUAUAAAAAAAAAAACCCGCCUUCGAUCUUCGUUACAGUCGCGCCUUUCUUCUAAAUUAAUUUAUGAAUGAACCCUAAUUGUAACACCCAAAAUUUCACCUAUCAGACCUAAAUUUGUGUAAUUCUCUUCUCUUGUCGUAGAAACUCCCUGGUAUAAUGUUUCUCUUUCACUUCCUCUUCUGUUGUCACAGAACCUCCCUCAUCUAGUCUUUCUAUUUCCCAGCCAUCUAAAGUCAUAAGAACGUCUGAAUCGGUAUGUUUCUCUCUCUCUCUCAUAUUAAGGUUUGCAUGUUAUAUUACAUUCACUUAAUGUUUAAAUUUUGUUUAGGAUUUUAGGGCUUUGAUUUUCUGGGUAAGAGUACUCUUUCUCUGUAGUAGUUGUGUUUGCAAAAACGUAAAUUGGCUUCAGUUACUUUUUUGUGUUGUGUUUUCUAGUUUCUAGUAAUUUGUUGAAGCAUAGUAACUCAUUUUUAAAGUUUUGCUACGAUUUAAAUAUUCUUCCUUUUUCCAAAAUUUGGGUUUUUUUUUUUUGCAAUUUUUUUUGGUAAUUUGUUGAAGUGUAGAUUCACAGUUGUUGCUUCUUCCUUUUUUUUUUUUUUUUUUUUUUGCAUUCUGCUUGUUGGUUGUCUUUCCUUAAAAUUCUAUGAACCUUUGUCGUUUGCUUUGACCUUUAUUGUAAUCCUGCUUUGCCCAUCUAGUGGUGUGAGUGUAGGUCAUCAUUUUAGUGAUUUAAUGGGGCUUGAAAAACAAAUAAUAAGUACUAUUAGAAGUAGAACUCAGAAGAGAAAACUGAAAAUCUUAAUUGUGAAUAUGAGAUGAUUUGGGAUGCAUAAGGAUCAAUGCAUCUUGUAGUAGGUAUCAAUUCUGUAUCUUAAUGUGUUGAAAAUAGUGUUGGUAGGUAUCAGUUCUGUAUCUUAAUGUGUUGAAAAUAGUGUUUGUAGGUGAAAAUUAUGUAUCUUAAUGUGUUGAAAAUAGUGUUUGUAGGUAUUAAUUAUGUAUUUUAAUGUGAUGAAGAUGUGUUGAUAAUAUUGUGAGUAGGUAUCACUUAUGUAUCUUAAUGUGUUCAUAAUAUUGUGAAUAGGUAUCACUUCUCUUUCUUAAGCAAGGUGUCUGUUGCAGGUAUAAAAUGGAGUCAGAGGUCUAUUCUGCGUGGGUGAAUAAUAUGUGUGUGGCGACACAGUCCUGUGUAAUUUUGGGGCGCAUUUCAGUGACUCGCUUAUGAAAAGAUUUAGAGAGAGCUGUUUAGGGCACCUGUUGGGCCUCCAUAAAAUUGCAUUUAGUGUUAAUGCCCGAUCUCGAUGAUUGUUGAUUACAUACAGCUUAUUAGGUUUUACAUACGAGUUUUGGGAAGAUAAUACUUUCAUAUGUUGUGAAGCACUUCCAAUACGGCCUGCCCAGAUUCCUUUCAAAUUUGGAAAAUAGCAUCACCAUCUCAGCAUUGCUGUGCCAACACCCCUUUGCUUUAGUGUUUGUUGAAGAAAUCGACAUCGCUUUGUCUAGAAGUGAAAAUGAAGAAAACAGAAGAAUUCAACUCUUCCAAAUAUUUGCUCAAAACCCAAAUUAUUUUCCUUUAAUUCUGAAAAGGAAUUGUAUUUUAUUUUUUGGUCUAAACAUAUAUGGAGUUUGAAGUUUGAAUUGAGAUUUUAGGGCCUUUUUUGGUCCUAACAAUCUAUGAGCGGAAAAUUCAAAUUUUUCAGGAUUUUUAAAAUUUUUUAACCCUAAUCCAUGAGCGGGAAAGAAGAGCAUUAUUGUAGGGACUUUUUUGUAUAUUUUUUUUACCCUAAACCCUACACAGUAAACACUAGGUGCCCAACCCCUAAACCCUUAAAAUUGAUCUUUAAAUCAAAAUUUAAGUGAAAAUGAAUAAAAAUUGGAAGUGGCGUGUGGCGGCAUCGGAAUGCGCCCCCAGUUGCUGAGGUUAGCAGCUCCUCACUCCAGCGCCGACACUUGGCAUUUCCUGAUUACUUUAUUACUUCUUCUUUUUUUGGGUUGCAAAAUUCAUAAAAAAUGCAGGAAAAAUCUGAAAAAUAUGGGUAAAAUUCCUAAGUAUCUGUAGGGAAGAAUACUUCGUAAGGAAAGUACAAUACUAGGUUUAUGAGUGACUGAAAAAUAAAAUUAGGGAGCGAAUCCUAGAAGUGGAUGACGCAAAUGAAAACACUAGUACACUUUGUAAACCCUACACUCUUAUUUGUUCGAUCACAUUAAUCCCGUAGCCAAAUUUGUAUGUCGCGACCUUUUUUGGGAUAUGUCAUCGAAGGGAAUCUCGUCACGAUCCUGGAGGAAUUCUUUUUGGAAUUUUUCCCCCUUAAUUUCGAUUUUUAAAUGAUUAUUUAAGUGAAAAUGAAUUAAAAAUUGGAAAAGUGGCAUGUUGCGGCAUGGGAAUGCGCCGCGUGUCGUUGAGGUUUGCAGCUCCAGAC